rnacentral:rRNA from 1 species
UGGGGAAUCUUCCGCAAUGGGCGAAAGCCUGACGGAGCAAUGCCGCGUGAGUGAAGAAGGCCUUCGGGUUGUAAAACUCUGUCCUUAUCGAAGAGAGGUGGGUAUGUGAAUAAUGUACUCAUAGGACGGUAGAUAAGGAGGAAGCCCCGGCUAACUACGUGCCAGCAGCCGCGGUAAUACGUAGGGGGCGAGCGUUGUCCGGAAUCACUGGGCGUAAAGGGCGCGUAGGCGGUUUAAUAAGUCAGUGGUGAAAACUGAGGGCUCAACCCUCAGCCUGCCACUGAUACUGUUAGACUUGAGUAUGGAAGAGGAGAAUGGAAUUCCUAGUGUAGCGGUGAAAUGCGUAGAUAUUAGGAGGAACACCAGUGGCGAAGGCGAUUCUCUGGCCCAAGACUGACGCUGAGGCGCGAAAGCGUGGGGAGCAACAGGAUUAGAUACCC